rnacentral:tRNA from 1 species
AGCCUAUUAGCUCAAAUGGUAGAGCAAUGUGCCACGCACAUGUAUGUAGGUUCGAGUCCUACAUAGGCAA